rnacentral:rRNA from 1 species
CAGCCGCCGCGGUAAUACGAAGGGGGCUAGCGUUGUUCGGAUUUACUGGGCGUAAAGCGCACGUAGGCGGAUCGAUCAGUCAGGGGUGAAAUCCCAGAGCUCAACUCUGGAACUGCCUUUGAUACUGUCGAUCUGGAUUAUGGAAGAGGUGAGUGGAAUUCCGAGUGUAGAGGUGAAAUUCGUAGAUAUUCGGAGGAACACCAGUGGCGAAGGCGGCUCACUGGUCCAUUACUGACGCUGAGGUGCGAAAGCGUGGGGAGCAAACAGGAUUAGAUACCCGGGUAGUCCCUGUCUCUUAUAC